UGCAAGUCGACGGGCUCUUCGGAGCAAGUGGCGGACGGGUGAGUAACGCGUGCAGAAUGUGCCUUCAGGAUGGGGAUAACAAUAGGAAACUAAUGCUAAGACCCAAUGUGCCUUAAGAGGUGAAAAAUGAAAAUUGCCUGAAGAGGAGCUCGCGUCUGAUUAGCUAGUUGGGGUGGUAAAAGCGCACCAAGGCAACGAUCAGUAGCUGGUCUGAGAGGAUGAGCAGCCACACUGGGACUGAGACACGGCCCAGACUCCUACGGGAGGCAGCAGUGGGGAAUUUUCCGCAAUGGGCGAAAGCCUGACGGAGCAAUACCGCGUGAGGGAGGAAGGCUCUUGGGUUGUAAACCUCAAAACUUAGGGAAGAAAAAAAUGACGGUACCUAAUCUAAGCAUCGGCUAACUCCGUGCCAGCAGCCGCGGUAAUACG
rnacentral:rRNA from 1 species